GACUUAAGAUUCCCAACAGUAAGUCAGAACUCGGGAUCAAUCAUUUUCAUUGUAUCCUCAAUUCUUCUUUUAUUGUUACUUUCUGAAUGGCUAUCAGGAAGCUUCUUUCUAUGGUUCUAAUUUGAUAAGCUUGAUAUAUGGUUCUGUUGAUAUCCAAUUGCAUAUUGUUUAUGUUGAGUUGGAGGUCACCGCAAAUAUGUCUAGUCCUGUAAUUGAUUCUUUGUGUUUUAAAGAAAAUCUUUCAAGGUUUUCUGUUUCUUCAUCUAAUAUCUGAAUCUGACAUAUUAUGUAUCAGUCUCUUCUGCAUUUGCACACUUUUUAAAAAAAAAAAAAUUCAAAAUGAACAUUGAUUUGAUAUCCUGAAAAUUCAUAAGAACAUUUUCCCUCCUUUGUUUUGUUUGAGACUAGCAGCAACAUGUUAUUUUUGUGUGGGAAACAGCAUAUCUUUAUAUGUAUAUGUAUUGCCCAUAUGCUUUGUUUUUGGUACUUCCUAAUUUUCAAAAUGUUGCAGGAUAAUUACUUGUUGGAGCUU
rnacentral:misc_RNA from 1 species